rnacentral:rRNA from 1 species
UAGGAGGCAGCAGUGAGGAAUGUUGCGCAAUGGGGGAAACCCUGACGCAGCAACGCCGCGUGGAGGAAGAAGGUCUUCGGAUUGUGAACUCCUGUCUUCAGGGACGAAUAAUGACGGUACCUGAGGAGGAAGCCACGGCUAACUACGUGCCAGCAGCCGCGGUAAUACGUAGGUGGCGAGCGUUGUCCGGAAUUACUGGGCGUAAAGGGCGCGUAGGCGGCUCUUUAAGUCAGAUGUGAAAGCCCGAGGCUUAACUUCGGGACUGCAUUUGAAACUGAAGGGCUUGAGUGCAGGAGAGGUAAGUGGAAUUCCUAGUGUAGCGGUGAAAUGCGUAGAUAUUAGGAGGAACACCAGUGGCGAAGGCGACUUACUGGACUGUAACUGACGCUGAGGCGCGAAAGCGUGGGGAGCAAACAGGAUUAGAUACCCUUGUAC